rnacentral:rRNA from 1 species
UACGUAGGCAGCAAGCGUUGUUCGGAAUUACUGGGCGUAAAGAGUGUGUAGGCGGUGCUCUAAGUUCGGUGUGAAAUCUCCCGGCUUAACUGGGAGGUGCGCCGGAAACUGGAGUGCUUGAGCGCGGGAGAGGAAAGCGGAAUCCUGGUGUAGCGGUGAAAUGCGUAGAUAUCUGGAGGAACACCGGUGGCGAAGGCGGGUCUCUGGGCCGUAACUGACGCUGAGGAGCGAAAGCAUGGGGAGCGAACAGG